rnacentral:rRNA from 1 species
AUUUUUUCAGAGGAUUUGAUCCUGGUCCAGGAUGAACGCUGGCGGCGUGGAUAAGGCAUG